rnacentral:rRNA from 1 species
AGUGAACGCUGGCGGUAGGCCUAACACAUGCAAGUCGAACGGCAGCACAGUAAGAGCUUGCUCUUACGGGUGGCGAGUGGCGGACGGGUGAGGCAUACAUCGGAAUCUACUUUUUCGUGGGGGAUAACGUAGGGAAACUUACGCUAAUACCGCAUACGACCUACGGGUGAAAGCAGGGGAUCUUCGGACCUUGCGCGAUUGUAUGAGCCGAUGUCGGAUUAGCUAGUUGGUGGGGUAAAGGCCCACCAAGGCGACGAUCCGUAGCUGGUCUGAGAGGAUGAUCAGCCACACUGGAACUGAGACACGGUCCAGACUCCUACGGGAGGCAGCAGUGGGGAAUAUUGGACAAUGGGCGCAAGCCUGAUCCAGCCAUACCGCGUGGGUGAAGAAGGCCUUCGGGUUGUAAAGCCCUUUUGUUGGGAAAGAAAAGCAGCAGGUUAAUACCCCGCUGUUCUGACGGUACCCAAAGAAUAAGCACCGGCUAACUUCGUG